AUACGGAGGGUGCAAGCGUUACUCGGAAUCACUGGGCGUAAAGGACGCGUAGGCGGGUUUGUAAGUCAGGUGUGAAAUCCUACAGCUCAACUGUAGAACUGCACUUGAAACUACAGACCUAGAGUAUGGAAGGGGCAGAUGGAAUUAGAGGUGUAGGGGUAAAAUCCGUAGAUAUCACUAGGAAUACCGAAAGCGAAGGCGAUCUGCUGGGACAUUACUGACGCUGAGGCGUGAAAGCGUGGGGAGCAAACAGGAUUAGAAACCCCAGUAGUCC
rnacentral:rRNA from 1 species